CCAGGUCAUACCCGAAUGGAGGGCUCCCCCAUUCAGUGCUAAGACUCAGGGACACCAGCAUCACCUGGAAAAGCUGGGCCCCAGAAAUGGGCGGUUUCCACUGUUGCUGUCACAGAAGGGGCAUUGGCGGGGUCUCCGGCGUGAGGCCCCUCUAAUGAUGGGCCUGCAUGGGGCAUCUCAGCCCCGCAGAGUGCCAGUUGACCAUUCAAGGGUGCCGGAGGAGGCCCCAGGCCACACUUGUAGGAAGAAACGGAUGCUCAGAGAAAUAAAGCAACGUGCCCAAGGUCACACAGCCAGGAAGUGGUAGAGUAGGGAGUCGCAGGCAGCCUCAAUCCGGGAGUGAAGCUCUGUGAUUGUGACUUUUGGGCUAAUCAAGCGCUCUCCACGUUCAUGACUCUGCUCUCCUCGACUCCAUCUGCUGAAGCAGGGAACCAGGACGAGGAAGUGGGCAGACUUCUGCCUCCAUCCAGCAAGGACUGAGUGAUGGGGCCUGCUGGCCUAGGACCCUCUUGGGAGGGUUUGAGCCAUAGUUUGGGGCCUGAGAAGACAGCAUGAGGUUGCCAGAGGGAAAAACAGGAACCUUGGUUUCUGGAAGGUCUGUG